rnacentral:rRNA from 1 species
AGUGAACGCUGGCGGUAGACCUAACACAUGCAAGUCGAACGGCAGCACAGUAAGAGCUUGCUCUUACGGGUGGCGAGUGGCGGACGGGUGAGGAAUACAUCGGAAUCUACUUUUUCGUGGGGGAUAACGUAGGGAAACUUACGCUAAUACCGCAUACGACCUACGGGUGAAAGCAGGGGAUCUUCGGACCUUGCGCGAUUGAAUGAGCCGAUGUCGGAUUAGCUAGUUGGCGGGGUAAAGGCCCACCAAGGCGACGAUCCGUAGCUGGUCUGAGAGGAUGAUCGGCCAAACUGGAACUGAGACACGGUCCAGACUCCUACGGGAGGCAGAAGUGGGGAAUAUUGGACAAUGGGCGCAAGCCUGAUCCAGCCAUACCGCGUGGGUGAAGAAGGCCUUCGGGUUGUAAAGCCCUUUUGUUGGGAAAGAAAAGCAGCAGGUUAAUACCCCGCUGUUCUGACGGUACCCAAAGAAUAAGCACCGGCUAACUUCGUG